rnacentral:rRNA from 1 species
UACGAAGGGGGCUAGCGUUGCUCGGAAUCACUGGGCGUAAAGCGCACGUAGGCGGAUUCUUAAGUCAGGGGUGAAAUCCUGGAGCUCAACUCCAGAACUGCCUUUGAUACUGGGAGUCUCGAGUCCGGGAGAGGUGAGUGGAACUGCGAGUGUAGAGGUGAAAUUCGUAGAUAUUCGCAAGAACACCAGUGGUGAAGGCGGCUCACUGGCCCGGUACUGACGCUGAGGUGCGAAAGCGUGGGGAGCAAACAGG